rnacentral:misc_RNA from 1 species
GUGAAUCAUCGAAUUUUUGAACGCAAAUUGCACUCUCUGGCAUCCCGGAGAGUAUGCCUGUUUGAGGGUCAGUUUAAUAAAAAUCGACGUGUCGCUUUCGUGAUGCACCGUAGGUUGGGUCUUCUUAGCGUCAGGUUGAGAGUCUUAAAGUCGAUAUCUUUUUGGCGCUCUUUUAGACGUACAUAAUUUUUGUUAUACGUCUAUUC